CCGCCCGUCACACCAUGGGAGUGGAUGAUACCAGAAGGCAGUCGACUAACCGCAAGGGGUUGCUGACCACGGUAUGAUUCAUGACUGGGUG
rnacentral:rRNA from 1 species